GUGAAGUACGGGCAGGGGGCGGGUGUAAGACGUAGGUGGGAAGUGGUGUCCGGAUUUUGUGGGUGUAAGGGGGGGGUAGGCGGUGUCCUAAGUCAGGUGGGAAAUACGGCAGCUUAACUGUCGAGGGGCAAUUGAUACUGGGGCACUUGAGUACUGAUGAGGUAAGCGGAAUGGACGGUGUAGCGGUGAAAUGCUUAGAUAUCGUCCAGAACACCGAUAGCGAAGGCAGCUUACUAAGGAGUAACUGACGCUGAGGCACGAAAGUGUGGGGAUCAAACAGGAUUAGAUACCCUAGUAGUC
rnacentral:rRNA from 1 species